rnacentral:rRNA from 1 species
ACCGGCGGCUCGAGUGGUGGCCACUAUUACUGGGCUUAAAGCGUUCGUAGCUGGCUUGUUAAGUCUCUGGGGAAAUCUUCCGGCUCAACCGGAAGGCGUCUCAGGGAUACUGGCAGGCUAGGGACCGGAAGAGGUGAGCGGUACUCCAGGUGUAGGGGUGAAAUGCUGUGAUACUACGGGGAACACCGGUUGCGAAGGCGGCUCGCCAGGACAUUACUGACGGUGAUGAACGAAAGCGUGGGGAGCAAACAG